rnacentral:snRNA from 1 species
AGAUGUGAGGGUGAUCUGGCUGUAACAUCUGUCACCCCAUUGAUCACCAGGGUUGAUUCCGCUGAUCUGGAUAGUUAGGCAGGUGCCCCCUUCCUCCCUCACCGCUCUAUGUGCAUCCCAUCCCUCCAAAGCUGCACAGUCCGUUGAAGAGAGCAACCUUUCCUGAUAGGAGGACCAUCCUUCGGUCAAGGGUAUAUGAGUAGCUGCAUUCCCCUGCUUGAACCUCCAAACAAGCUCUCAAAGAAUUACAGUCUCAGAAACCCACAAGGGCAGCUCCCCACUGUCCUUACGGGUCACUCACUAUGAGUCAGCAUCAACUG